rnacentral:ncRNA from 1 species
AGCACGCGUCCUUAAAAGAAACCGGCGUACAUCCUCCAAAAGGUGCGCCGGGAGGUUGAAAAGCGGAUGCAAUUUCCGGCGUGUGCA